rnacentral:rRNA from 1 species
CCUACGGGAGGCAGCAGUGAGGAAUAUUGGUCAAUGGGCGCAAGCCUGAACCAGCCAAGUCGCGUGAGGGAUGACGGUCCUAUGGAUUGUAAACUUCUUUUAUAAAGGAAUAAAGUGAGGCACGUGUGCUUUUUUGUAUGUACUUUAUGAAUAAGGAUCGGCUAACUCCGUGCCAGCAGCCGCGGUAAUACGGAGGAUCCGAGCGUUAUCCGGAUUUAUUGGGUUUAAAGGGAGCGUAGAUGGGUUGUUAAGUCAGUUGUGAAAGUUUGCGGCUCAACCGUAAAAUUGCAAUUGAUACUGGCAGCCUUGAGUACAGUUGAGGUAGGCGGAAUUCGUGGUGUAGCGGUGAAAUGCUUAGAUAUCACGAAGAACUCCGAUUGCGAAGGCAGCUUACUAAACUGCCACUGACAUUGAUGCUCGAAAGUGUGGGUAUCAAACAGGAUUAGAUACCCGAGUAGUC